AGGCACAGUUACAGAGAGCGCUGGCCAGCGCUCACCAUGUGGUCUGGUGGAAAGCAGGGGAGUGUGAACAUCUGGUAGCUGCCUGCGCUCAUGUGAGCAGCAGGAAAAAAAGCUGCAGUGGAGUCUGACCACCUUCUCCACGUGGCAGGAAGAGGCUGAGAGGGAACAACUAUGAGGACCUCAAGUAUCACUAGUCCCAACUGAAGGGGAAGCUUUGGGUCCUUGUGAUGGAGAAGGUGGACUUGCAGCUCCAGAUGAAAAAGCUGAAGACAUCCAAGCUCCUGCCACAACAACUGCUGCAGGACAUACAGAAAUGCCAGGAACACCAAGGCUUCAGCAACAGCCCUUGCUUCCCAUUGUUUUAUCGACCAGAAAAGUAUGGUGAUAUUAAGAUCAUGGACAUUUGAGAUGUGGGGCCCAGGACGCUGCCCCCUCCCAGUUCCUGCUACCUUGUCUCUGUCACGCUGUCCCAGCCACUUCUUCCCAAUCAUCUCUUUAUCAUAAGACCACUCUUCUUUAAAAAAAAAAAGAAAGAAAGAAAGAAAGAAAGAAAGAAAGAAAGAAAGAAAGAA